AACGAACGCUGGCGGUGCGUCUUAAGCAUGCAAGUCGAACGGCAAGAAAGUGCUUGCACUUUCCUAGAGUGGCGGACUGGUGAGUAACGCGUGGGUGAUCUACCUUUAAGAUGGGGAUAGCUUUUAGAAAUAAGAGAUAAUACCGAAUGUGCUUAUGGUGCUGUGGUGCUGUAAGGAAAGGAGCGUUUGCUCCGCUUAAAGAUGAGCCUGCGUCCCAUUAGCUUAGG
rnacentral:rRNA from 1 species